UACGUAGGGUGCAAGCGUUAAUCGGAAUUACUGGGCGUAAAGCGUGCGCAGGCGGUUUUGUAAGUCUGACGUGAAAUCCCCGGGCUCAACCUGGGAAUUGCGUUGGAGACUGCAAGGCUAGAAUCUGGCAGAGGGGGGUAGAAUUCCACGUGUAGCAGUGAAAUGCGUAGAGAUGUGGAGGAACACCGAUGGCGAAGGCAGCCCCCUGGGUCAAGAUUAACGCUCAUGCACGAAAGCGUGGGGAGCAAACAGG
rnacentral:rRNA from 1 species